rnacentral:lncRNA from 1 species
UCGCGGUCCAAUAUGAACAGUAAAAUCAAUUCGGGACUAAAUGAGAAUUACUAUGAAUUUUUCUUUCAAAUUUCAAAUUCAUACUAUAUACCAUUGCCAAUCAUAAUUUACUUAUUUUAUCAAUACUUUCACAACUUAAAUGACUCUCAUAAGACAUCCUAGGUACAUGCCAUUACCAAUACUCAACAUGCUUUACCUCAUCGAAUUCGGGAUCGGCCUGGGAUGCUGAUUCAAUGAUCUAGCCUUAACUUAACCUGCGCACGGAAACAAACCGUACGCUAAGUAUACACUCAGUGGUAUUUCUAUAAUCUGAACACUUAAACAAUUAUAAAACAUAUUAAUUUAUAUAUAUUAAACUAUUCAAACUCAAUGAGUAUUCAAACAUUCACUUUCCAACCAAUGUUUUGGUCUACUUUAAAUUCAAAAUCAUUUAUUAUUUUUCAAUAGCAAUUAAUCAAUAGUAAUAUUCAUUAACGAUCAGUCAAUCAGAACAAUUAUUUAUUUAGUAAUAGUCAAUUAUUCAGUAUCAAUCAAUUGAUCGGUUAUCCAGUAAUAGUCAAUUAUUCAGUAAAAAUCAAAUAUACAGUAACAAUUAAAUUAUUCAGUAACAGUCGAUUUUUCCAGUUCCUUUAUUUACCCCUAUUAACAUGACUCGGACCUAGACGGAUACACGGAUCCAACCAACACACUAGUACGACACAUAAUGCCUCAUCGGUCGAAGCCAGAACAGUAACAAUAACAGUAACAGUACGGUACACAGAGUACCUCAUCGGAACAAAUCCGAAACAGUAACAAUAACGAUGAUAGUAACAAUAUCCGACACACAAAGUGCUGAAUCGAUAACAGUAACAGUAGUCGUCACAUAGGUGCCUGAUCAAUAAGCCGGCAAAACUCGUACUCUUCCAUAUCCUAUGGCAUGCCAACUAUAUCCGACUAGCCCGACUAGUUAAUAGGGUAUUUAAUUCACUUUCCAGUUUUCAAUUAAUUCAUAUUUUAAUUAAUUUACUAUAUUUUUUCAAUUCAAUAUAAUUCCAUUCACUUUUCACUAAUAAAUAUUCAAUUUCACAAUAAUCACAAUUUUUUAUCAAUUUCAUCACAUUUCCAACUACAUAUAUUUUCCAAUAUAACAAAUAUUUAUUAUUCAAUUUCCACAUCAAUAUUCAUUUCAAUUCAAACAUUCACAUAUAUUCAUAAAUUAAUUCAAUAUAAUCAAUAUUCAAUCUAAUUCAAAUAAUCAUCUCAAAACACCUACUACAUAUAUAUAUAUUAAAUAAUAAAUCCAACAAUUUAAGUAUUAAGUUCAGAUUAUAGAAAUACAAAUCGUAUUUUCUCGAGCUAACUCCCGUUGUCUUUGCCAUUUUUCCAUGCUUAGCCGAGAUUUCCCGAGACAACGUUAGCUAUGAGAAUUAAAAUAAUUCAUAUUCGUUAAUUCACUACUAAUUUAUAUCUAAUUAAUACAAUUUCUAUUCAAUUUCUACUUUAAUUUCAAUUUAAUCUUAACUAAAUUCACUUACUUUUUCUAUCUCAAUUCAUACUUCAUUUCUAUUCAAAUUUUGUCCAAACUCAUACUUAACUAUUAAAUUUCCAGCAUAUUUUCCUAGUUUCGAAAUUUCAUCAAUUUAGUCCCUACAACAUAAAACUUAUGAAUUACUUUACAAUUCAAUCCUUAUUUCAUUUCUAACUUGAAUUCCUAUCAAUCUAGCCCCUAAUUCAUCUUUUUAUUCAACAUGAACAAUAUUUAUAAAUCUAAUAACUUUCAAAAUAGUCACUUAAUUUCAUCAAAACCUUGUCCCAAAGCUUCCAAAACAUCAAAAUUAAGUAAAAAGGGCUAAAUUGACUUACCUAUUUAACUUUCAAGCCUUGAAAUCCCAAUUUUCCCCUUUUUCCUUCUUUCUUUUUUUCCUUCCUUCUUUCUUUCCCCUGCUCUCUGUUUCGUUUCAUCCUUUCU